ensembl:lncRNA
CCCUAAUCCAAACAGAACUGGUGUCUUUAUAAGAAAAGGAAGAGAUACCCUAACUCUCUCCCCAUCUUGUGAGCACACAGCCAGAAGGUGGCCAUCUGCAAGACAGGAAGGGUGCUCUCACCAGAGCCUGACCAUGCUGGACCUUGACCUUGGGCCUUCAGCCUCCAGAACUGUGAGAAAAUAAUUUCUAUUGCUGUCUGCCAUGUUGUGUCAUGGCAGCUGGAGCAGACUGCUACAGUGUGAUUUGCCCCCAGUUCAUUUCUAAGUUAAAUGUGGUGCAUGAGUGCAUGCCAAGGUGCCUCAGGUGUGUCCAACUCUUUGCGACCCCAUGGACUGUAGCCCACCAGGCUCCUCUGUCCAUGGGACUCUACAGGCAAGAAUACUAAAGUAGAUUGCCAUGCCCUCCUCCAGGGGAUCUUCCUGACUCAGGGAUGGAACCUAGUCUCUUAUGUUUCCUGCAUCGGUCAUGCAGAAGGAUAUGUCCUGUGCAAGGCUGCCACCCAGUUGAGACUUCCCCCUGGACUUGGAGGGAAAAGGAUUGGGUGAAUUAUAAUGACUGCACCCUGUGGCAUGUGAGAUCUGAGUUCCCUGACCUGGGAUCAAACUUGUGGAGUUCCACUACAGUUCCCUAUAGUGGAAGUGUGGAGUCUCAACCACUGAAUCGCCAAGCUCUUUGAGGACUUCCCAGAUGGCACAGUGGUAAAGAAUCUGCCUGCCAAUACAGGAGCCACAGGAGAUGCUGGUUCGAUCCCUGGGUUGGAAAGAUACCUGGAGGAGGAAAUGACAACCCAUUCCAGUAUUCUUGCUAGGGUAAUCCCAUGGGACUGAUGCUUUUGAACUGUGGUGUUGGAGAAGACUCUUGAGAGUCCCUUGGACUGCAAGGAGAUCAAAUCAGUUAAUCUUAAAGGAAAUCAGCCCUGAAUAUUCAUUGGAAGGACUGAUGCUGAAGCUCUGAUAUUUUGGCCACCUGAUGUAAAGAACUGACUCACUGGAAAAUACCCUGAUGCUAGGCAAGAUUGAAGGCAGGAGAAGAAGGAGAUGACAGAGGAUGAGAUGGCUGGAUGGCAUGACCAACUCAUUGGACAUGAGUUUGAGCAAACUCUGGGAGUUGGUGAUUGACAGGGAAGCCUGGCCUGCUGCAGUCCAUGGGGUUGCAAAGAGUUGGACACGACAGAGCA